rnacentral:lncRNA from 1 species
UCUCCCACUUUAGUGAUCAAGGACAUAGUAGGCAUUUGCCUUCGUCUUUCUGUUUCUUUUAUUCUUCAAUAAAUAAUAAAAAAACAAAAAUAAGUGUAGAAAUGAUGGCGUGUGAUCUUCGAUACUUCUCUCGUUCCAAAACAAGCCCAUAACCAAGCAUGUCGGGCCCCACUUGAGACAUGGGCCAGUGGCGAUAAACAUUUUACCCCAAUGCAUGUCGGAGCGGACACUAAUGGCGGCAAUUUAUGAUUCGAUCCGUCAAAAUGGUAUGCAAACAAUCUGGUUUAAAUAAAUUUUAAUUUGACACAAAUAAAUUUAGAUCAUAAAUAAAUUAAUCAUAAACAAAUUAAUCCAUCCAGACCUAUUUACUGGACGGAUUGAAUUCAAAUUUAGGUUUUUAAUUUAUUUUAUUUAUUUUGACUAAUUUAAUAAUUGAAUCGGAUCAUAAUCGAAUCUAUUUAAUCUGUUCAAAUUAUUUUUGACUUGUUUAAUCUGAUUUGUUUAUUAAUUUAAUCUAUUUAAUCUGACUUAAUUUAUUUAAUAAAUAAAUUAUGUUAAUCGGAUUAGAUUUAAUAAAUAAAUUAUAUUUGAAUCUAAAUUUUUAAUUUAUUUAAUAAAUAAAUUAAAUUUGGAUUGACAAAUUUUUGAUCCAACGAACACUUACAAAGAUACCCCUGAUGACUCCUUAUUCCAGUCGCUAAAGCAUGCACAUGCACCAAGCAGUUAAGCUAACAAGUGAACUGUCUACGAUGGAAUGCCAAGUCUGAGGCAAAUCAUCUAGUACUGUUUUAUAUCUAAAAAAAGUGUUGCGCUGCUACUAAUGCAAUAAAUUAAUAAGUAUGUGCAGUAAAACAAAGGUAGGAAAUAAUAGUGUGAAAAUUCUAGGUACUCAUUGCUCCUAGGGACAUCCAGAAUCAAAACAUCAGCGACCAUUGAGCCCAUCAAUCACGGCCCAUACUUCUGCUUCAUUAGCUUUAUAAAAAGGAAAAAAAGAUAACAAUAUAAAAAAGAUAUAAGAAUUAAAAGAAAUAUAAGAAAAAUGAACAUAGAAAAAGGUAGGAUACUAAGAAAAAAGAAAAAAUUCAUCAAUUCUUUUGAGAACUUUCA